CGUUUGGAGAUGAGCUCGCGUACCAUUAGCUGGUUGGUAAGGUAACGGCUUACCAAGGCGACGAUGCCUAGGGGUUCUGAGAGGAUGACCCCCCAUACUGGUACUGAGACACGGACCAGACUCCUACGGGACGCAGCACUGAAGAAUAUUGGUCAAUGGGCGAGAGCCUGAACCAGGCAUCCCGCGUGAAGGAAGACUGCCCUAUGGGUUGUAGACUUCUUUUCUGCACCUAGAACGUGCCCUACGUGUAGGGCAGUGACGGUCGUGCAGGAAUAAGCCUCGGCUAACUCCGUGCCAGCAGCCGCGGUCAUACUGAGGAUGCGAGCGUUCUCCGGAUUCAUUGGGUUUACAGGGUGCGUAGGCGGCUUCUUAAGUCAGUGGUGAAAUCCUGCGGCUCAACCGUAGAACUGCCAUUGAACACUGGGGGGCUUGAAUACCGAUGGAGUAGGCGGACUGAGUAGUGUAGCGGUGACAUGCAUCGAUAUUACUCAGAACACCGAUUGCGUAGGCAGCUUACUAAACUGAUAUUGACGCUGAGGCCCGAAAGCGUGGGGAGCGAACAGGAUUCGAUACCCUGGUAGUCCACGCAGUAAACGAUGUUCACUCGCUGUUUGCGAUAUACAGUAAGCGGCUUAGCGAACGCAUUAAGUGAACCACCUGGGGAGUACGUCGGCAACGGUGAAUACUCAAAGGAAUUGACGGGGGCCUGCACAACCGGAGGUACAUGUCGGUUUAAUUCGAUGAUACGCGAGGAACCUUACCUGGGCUUAAAUGUACGGUUGCAUGAGGUGGAAACACCCUU
rnacentral:rRNA from 1 species